UCCGAUUUAUCACCGGCAGUCUCCUUAGAGUUCCCACCAUUACGUGCUGGCAACUAAGGACGAGGGUUGCGCUCGUUACGGGACUUAACCCAACAUCUCACGACACGAGCUGACGACAGCCAUGCAGCACCUGUCUCUCAGUUCCCGAAGGCACCGAGUUAUUUCUAACAAGUUCUGAGGAUGUCAAGAGUAGGUAAGGUUCUUCGCGUUGCGUCGAAUUAAACCACAUGCUCCACCGCUUGUGCGGGCCCCCGUCAAUUCCUUUAAGUUUUAACCUUGCGGCCGUACUCCUCAGGCGGAGAACUUAUCGCGUUAGCUACGAUACUAAGAGAUUAAAUCUCCCAACAUCUAGUUCUCAUCGUUUACGGCGUGGACUAC
rnacentral:misc_RNA from 1 species